rnacentral:rRNA from 1 species
CCGACGGGGGGCUGCAGUGGGGAAUAUUGGACAAUGGGCGAAAGCCUGAUCCAGCCAUGCCGCGUGUGUGAAGAAGGCCUUCGGGUUGUAAAGCACUUUCAGUGGGGAAGAAAGCCUUGGGGCUAAUACCCUCGAGGAAGGACAUCACCCACAGAAGAAGCACCGGCUAACUCCGUGCCAGCAGCCGCGGUAAUACGGAGGGUGCGAGCGUUAAUCGGAAUUACUGGGCGUAAAGCGCGCGUAGGCGGUCUGAUAAGCCGGUUGUGAAAGCCCCGGGCUCAACCUGGGAACGGCAUCCGGAACUGUCAGGCUAGAGUGCAGGAGAGGAAGGUAGAAUUCCCGGUGUAGCGGUGAAAUGCGUAGAGAUCGGGAGGAAUACCAGUGGCGAAGGCGGCCUUCUGGACUGACACUGACGCUGAUGUGCGAAAGCGUGGGUAGCAAACAGGAUUAGAUACCCCAGUAGUC